rnacentral:ribozyme from 1 species
GAUGUAUCUCUAUUCUUCUUCUUCUUAUUUUUAUGAUUUAAAUGAAUUAAUUUCUUUGCAUAAAAGAAUGGACUUGAAAGUAAAAAAGUUUCGAAUUGUUUUCUUGUAGAUGCACCAAUGCAUA